UGGGGAAUCUUGCACAAUGGGCGAAAGCCUGAUGCAGCAAUGCCGCGUGAGUGAUGAAGGCCUUCGGGUUGUAAAUCUCUGUCGGGUGGGAAAAACGUGUUCAUGGCUAAUAUUCAUGGACAGUGAUGGUACCACCAAAGGAAGAGGCGGCUAAUUCUGUGCCAGCAGCCGCGGUAAUACAGAAGCCUCGAGCGUUGUUCGGAAUUACUGGGCGUAAAGGGAAUGUAGGUGGUGACGUAAGUCAGAUGUGAAAGCCCCGGGCUUAACCUGGGAAGUGCAUUUGAUACUGCGUCGCUGGAGUGCGAGAGAGGAAAGUGGAAUUCCCGGUGUAGGGGUGAAAUCCGUAGAUAUCGGGAGGAAUACCAAUGGCGAAGGCAGCUUUCUGGCUCGUAACUGACACUGAGAUUCGAAAGCAUGGGUAGCAAACAG
rnacentral:rRNA from 1 species